AUUGCACGCUGGCGGCAGGCCUAACACAUGCAAGUCGAGCGAGCGGCGGACGGGUGAGUAAUGUCUGGGAAAAUGCCUGAUGGAGGGGGAUAACUACUGGAAACGGUAGCUAAUACCGCAUACCAUCAGAUGUGCCCAGAGGGGAUUAGCUAGUAGGUUGGGUAAUUGAUCACCUAGUCGACGAUCCCUAGCUGGUCUGAGAGGAUGACCAGCCACACGGGAACGUAGACACGGUCCAUACUCCUACGGUAGGCAGCAGUGGGGAAUAUUGCACAAUUGGCGCAACCCUGAUGCAGCCAUGCCGCGUGUAUGAAGAAGUCCUUCGGGUUGUAAAGUACUUUCAGCGGGGAGGCGUUGCCCGCAGAAGGAGCACCGGCUAGCUCCGUGCCAGCAGCGGCGGUAAUUC
rnacentral:rRNA from 1 species